rnacentral:rRNA from 1 species
UACGAAGGGGGCUAGCGUUGCUCGGAAUUACUGGGCGUAAAGCGCACGUAGGCGGCUUCUUAAGUCGGUGGUGAAAUCCUGGAGCUCAACUCCAGAACUGCCUUCGAUACUGGGAAGCUCGAGUCCGGGAGAGGUGAGUGGAACUGCGAGUGUAGAGGUGAAAUUCGUAGAUAUUCGCAAGAACACCAGUGGCGAAGGCGACUGUCUGGCCAGAUACUGACGCUGAGGCGCGAAAGCGUGGGGAGCAAACAGG